AGAGACUUAGGCUAGCAAUUAGACCCACGGCCUUCAAAGCCGUAAGCGUGAGUGAAAAUCUCUCAGUCCCUG
rnacentral:tRNA from 4 species